CCAAAAGAUUUUGAAGUAUGAGCUAUUUCGUUGCUAGGUCCUGUAGUGUACGCCCGUGCCAAAAAAAAGAAAAAAAAUCUCUGGCUUUUCUGGAGGUAAAUUUCCCAAAGUGAGUCUGGCUCGUCCUGAGAUCUGAGGUCCGACCUCUCUCAUCUUCUCUUUUAUUUUUUUUUAACAUUCAAAUUAUCCGGAAAGGGAUCGUACUGCACAUACACACAAAAUAAAACCCAAGAAGGGGAAGAUAAGAGAGAGAGAGAGAAAUAAGUAGCAAAGCAAAAGAAAAAGAAACCCCACACAAGAUGCAGUUUGCAAAACAAAAAAGAGAAAAAAAUCCGGAUCGGGGCGAAAGGAUCUGAAACGCAACAGGACUGCGUUAAAGUGAUCUGAAAAGGUUCCUGAGUGCAAGCUGCGCUGCUGACUCUAGGGGGAGUGGCUGUUGUUUAUCCCGAAUUCAUUGCGCUCAGGUUCACCGGGGGAGGCGUGGCUCGUCCAAUUUCAACCCCCCUCUCUCCACCACCCCCCCCCCCGCUUCCAGCAGCAACAAUAACAACAACAUCAUCCACCCACCGAACAGAGAAAAGAGAGAAGGCAAAGCCAAAGGCAAAUGAAAAAAAGUUGCUGAAUUCUACAGGCAGAUUCCUUAACACUUGUGGAUGCAUUUGAUUGGCUGGAAAUGUUGUUAAAAUUCGUAAUACAAGAUGUAGCUGUUGGGCAAAUAAUCUGGGAAAACAGACAAAUUAUUUGAGAAGACCAGAAGAUUGUAUCACAAGAUCUCCAGAUGGAUAAUGAAAUAAUGAAACGGAGGAAGUUCUCCACCAGCAGUGAGGACUCGGAUACCACUGACAGUCACAUAACAUUAUGGUGUCGAAGUUCUAAGACAGCAAACACAAAGCACCCCUGGACAAGGCAGGAAGAGAAGAAGCCAUCAGAGGUUUGUCAACAUGUUUAACAAUUUUCUCUCAUCAAUAGCUUAUUAUUUUCCACUUCAAAACAAUGAGGAACGUUGCUUCUCACUCAAACAGGAGGAGGAGACAGAUGUUAACCAGUAAACUCCAGCCGAAGAGCUCCUUCAUUUGACUCAAAUGUGUUUAUACCCCAAUGCAGAUAACUUUUUUUUGGUUGAAUAAAUGAAUAGCUGUUUCCGUUGUUCCAACCAAGUAAUAUCCAGUACAUUUUUCUGCUUAAUGUGUAUACUUCAGAAAUGAUCAAAAAUUGAACAGCCAAUUAAUUAGAAAUAAAACUUGACAGGAUUGAUGUUUUGCAC